GUGGGGAAUCUUCCGCAAUGGACGAAAGUCUGACGGAGCAACGCCGCGUGAGUGAAGAAGGUUUUCGGAUCGUAAAGCUCUUUCGUCAGGGACGAACGUAUUUCUUGUAAAUAAUGAGAGAUAGUGACGGUACCUGAAUAAGAAGCCACGGCUAACUACGUGCCAGCAGCCGCGGUAAUACGUAGGUGGCAAGCGUUGUCCGGAAUUAUUGGGCGUAAAGCGCGCGCAGGCGGGAUAUCAAGUCUGUCUUAAAAGUGCGAGGCUCAACCUCGUGAGGGGACAGAAACUGGUAUUCUUGAGUGUCGGAGAGGAAAGUGGAAUUCCAAGUGUAGCGGUGAAAUGCGUAGAGAUUUGGAAGAACACCAGUGGCGAAGGCGACUUUCUGGACGAUGUCUGACGCUGAGGCGCGAAAGCUAGGGGAGCGAACGGGAUUAGAUACCCUGGUAGUCC
rnacentral:rRNA from 1 species